rnacentral:lncRNA from 1 species
UUGUGAUGUCACCAAGGAAAACUGCCCCAUGGAGGAUUUCUCAAAAUAUAUCCCACCAUGUAGUGUCACACGACUGUAGAUGACUCUGCAUAGGACAGCUCUAAGGAGGCCCCAGAGACUCCCAAGAGAUGACAUGAACAGCACAGGCUGGACAAGGCCAGGAACCAGAACAGGAUCUGGUUCUGAGGAAUACCUCACCAGGGGGCCAACAAUCUCUCAACCUCUCUCUCCCUCACCCCCUCAUGAGAUCAGAUGUCUCCAUGUAGCCCUGGCUAUCCUAGAACUCACUAUAUAGACCAGACCAACCUUGAACUCCCAGAGAUCUGCUCGCCCCUCCUCACUGCUUCGAUUAAGGGUGUGUGUCACUAUGUCCAGCUUGACAAUAACCUCUUGACAACCUUCCUAAUUCCAUUUUUGAACCAGUGUUAACCUGGAACCCACAACAGCUGGUGCAGAGUGAAAUCCCUCACCUGUGUGGAUCCUCGCAGCAGCACACGUGGAUCUGUUGUGUGAUGGGUAAAGAUUUCUCUGAGGAUUAAAUGGCUUGUCUUAGGUCACAUACCACUACUGUAAUGGCUGACGGGUCAGUCUGGACCCUCGUUACUUGGUUUUGAUUCACUCUGUGGAAAAGCUAUGGCAUGGCAUUAGGCUUUCUCAGCAGAACCCCAUCAUUGCUGCUCAGGUCUCAAGCCAGCUGAAGGCCACUUGGGGCCUCCCUAGUUAAUGCAGAUUUACAGUGGUCUCUGACUUAUCCAUGCUGUUUGGCAGGAGGCUGCCGAGGCUUCCUGCUUAACUACUGACAGGAAAGGAGUUGAUAGCACAGAAAAGCAUAUUUAUUAACGCCUUUUGAACCGAGUAAAGCACCUGUGGGGUUCUAGAAAAGAGAUGUGUCAACUGGAUGCUUCUGGGCGUUUCCAGAAACCUUGGUCCUGUGUGGCACUAGUUUAAAAGGACACAGGACAGAGUGGCAUCACUCCAGCCGUUGCAGUCUGAACAGCCCUGAAGAGGAGUCGAUGUCACAAAGGGGAAGAGUGGCAAAAGCAAGUAUUGGCUACGACCUGCAGGGAUAGGGAGAGAGAGGAGCAGGGCUCCACAUGAAUGAUUUCUGUUUACCCAGAAGCUGGACUCUUGUUGUCAGAAGAACUCGGGAUGAUACAGGACAUGUCUCUUCUUUCAAGCGACCCUAGGUUUAGGGUUUUUUUGCCUGACCCCCUACCGGGUAUAUAACUCCACCUUAGAGAGGAUCAAGGGGACAUGGUCCACCAAGGCCCUCAAUUAUUCUAUACUCCUCAGGGAACAGAUACAUAAGUUAAACUUUACUUAAGCAGGAGCUUCCAAAUGUACUAACCCUGGAAUCUGCCUGAAACCCAGAGACAGACAAGGACAGAGCAAGUGACUGGAGCCAAGGGGCUGGUGCCAGGUGCAAGACAAGCAGUUACUGACCAAGGGGACGUGGGCAGAGGGAAAAAAAGUGUCUUCAUUAGAACAGUAAACAAGUCUGGCUCUGCUUUUCAUCUGGCUCCCAGAAUCUGUGUCAUUGAUCCCACGCCUUCCAACCCCUUACUUCCAAGGAUUGUAUAUAAGGAGCACUGGAAAAGAGGAGGGGAAGUCACUCCCAAGAGCAGGGCCCAGCUUUUCCGUGCAUGAAGUGUCCAGGCACUGCUGUUGAACAAGCUUCCCAGCUCCGUU